UACGUAGGGUGCAAGCGUUGUCCGGAAUUAUUGGGCGUAAAGAGCUCGUAGGCGGUUGGGUAAGUCGGGUGUGAAAACUCCAGGCUCAACUUGGAGAUGCCACCCGAUACUGCUCUGACUUGAGUUCGGUAGGGGAGUGGGGAAUUCCUGGUGUAGCGGUGAAAUGCGCAGAUAUCUGGAGGAACACCGGUGGCGAAGGCGGCAUCCUGGACCGAUACUGACGCUGAGGAGCGAAAGCCAGGGGAGCAAACGGG
rnacentral:rRNA from 1 species